AAAUAAUAGAGAUUUAAGAAAUAUUGGGGGGCCACGGCCCCCGACCCUAUACUGGCUCUGCCACUUUGUAUAUCUUACGUUUACAACUUACAAGAACAUAUAUAUGUGCAUAUGCAAGAAAAUGACAUGCAUGAGUUUUACUAUUUUUGCUUUCUUCCAUAGAAUUUCUCGAGAAAGAAUAUCACCUUAUUACAUAUAUAAAUAAUUACGAAUCCUCGACAACGAUGUGAGAAUUAGAACACGUCUCACGUAUCGAAAAAUAGUUAAAUUUAGCACUAAGGAUAACAAAUGUAGUAAUCAGUCCUAUAAACCUAUUAACCACUCAAAAAUAAUAGGUGCAUUAAUUUUCUUGUGAACAGAAGAAAAUCAACCAGUUAUAUAUAGGCAUGAAAAUCAGUAGCUAUAUCACUGCAAUUACAUCUCAGCAUUUCAUUACAAGUUAAUUAAAAUUACAACCAUGGCUAAUUUCUUUCUUCAUCGGUUAUCCAACCUGGCGCUUCUCGUUUUCGUUCUGAUUUCGAGCUGCUCUCUCCAAGUUCUCGCAGCAGACGAAGAUCGAAAGGUUUACAUAGUGUACAUGGGGCAUCUUCCUGCAGAAGCUACUCAGUCGCUUCCGUCGUACCAUUUCAACAUGCUCAACGACGUUGUUGACAGCAGGUUCGUGACGAAAUCGUUGGUGAGAAGUUAUACGAGGAGUUUCAACGGUUUCGCAGCCUACCUCACACCUCAAGAGAAGGAAAAGCUAGCCGGUCAUGAACAAGUCGUCUCGAUUUUUCCCAGUACGACAUUUCACACUCAAACAACAAGAUCAUGGGAUUAUAUGGGACUUGCUCCAAAUGCGAAACGAAAUCCAACCAUGGAAAGUGACACAAUCAUCGGUGUCAUCGAUACCGGAAUCUGGCCCGAGUCGGAGAGUUUCAACGACAAAGGUUUCGGCCCUCCUCCCAAGAAAUGGAAAGGAGCCUGCAAAGGAGGAUACAACUUCACUUGCAACAACAAACUAAUAGGCGCACGGUACUACGAACAAACAGGCGAGACCGCAAGAGAUACGGAAGGCCACGGGAGCCACACCGCAUCCACAGCAGCGGGGAAUUACGUAAAAGACGUCAGCUUUUACGGGAUAGCCAAAGGAACCGCAAGAGGAGCGGUACCCUCAGCAAGAAUCGCAGCAUACAAAGUCUGUAACCCCAGCGGAUGCUCGUCGGUGAAUUUGUUAGCUGCAUUCGAUGACGGCAUCGCUGAUGGAGUCGACAUUUUCUCGAUCUCCAUCGGACAUAGUUUUCCUCAUGAUCUCGAAGCCGAUCCCAUCGCAAUAGGAGCUUUUCAUGCAGCGGAAAAGGGCAUUUUAGUCAUUCAAUCUGCAGGCAAUAGUGGGGACGGCAAGGGAACCGUUUCGAGUGUAGCACCCUGGAUUUUCUCGGUCGCUGCGAGCACUACCGAUAGGGGAAUUAUCACCAAAGUUUCUCUCGGAGAUGGAACCGUACUUAACGGCAAGGCGGUGAAUGCUGUUAGUUUGAACGGGACUAGUUUCCCUCUAGUGUAUGGAGAAGGUGUCUCACGCAAAUGCAACGAACAAUAUGCAAAAUACUGUUAUUCGGAGUGUUUGGAACCCGAUUUAGUGAAGGGAAAAAUUGUACUCUGCAAAACUUACGCGGGCAUAGGAGAAGCCGCGCGAGCUGGAGCUGUUGGAGCAGUUGCACUUGAUGAUUUUUCACCCGAUGUCUCGUUCGUUGUUCCUCCUAUAGCUGCAUCAGCCUUAAACCAACAAGACUUCAGUUUGGUCGAAAGCUACUUUUCCUCCACAAAGUAAUCUACCUUCAAAAUUUCGACACGAGAAACAUUACUAUUAGUACGUCGUGUUUUUUUCUUUCUAACUCUUGAAAGUAUUUGCGUAAAUCGAUUUUGCAGAUCUCCCAAAGUAGAAGUUCUGGCUAGUGAAUCGAUAAAAAAUGUCGUCUCCCCCAAGGUUGCUUCGUUCUCUUCAAGAGGACCAAACGUCAUCAUUCCACAUAUUUUGAAGCCAGAUGUAACGGCACCGGGAACGGAAAUCAUGGCAGCCUAUUCACCGGUAGCUCCACCAUCAAUUUUCCCUCGAUACGAUAACAGAUCUGUUAAGUAUAAUAUACUUGCCGGAACAUCUAUGUCUUGCCCGCAUGUUGCCGGAGCAUCUGCGUACGUAAAAUCACUCCACCCCGAUUGGUCUCCUUCAGCUAUCAAGUCAGCACUUAUGACAACAGCUUGGAGAAUGAACUCAACAAACGAUCAGCUAGCUGAAUUUGGCUAUGGAGUUGGCCAUAUAGACCCUGCAAGGGCCGUUGAUCCCGGCCUCGUUUACGAGACAUCAACGAGUGAUUAUGCCAAUAUGCUCUGCAGUUUGGGGUAUGAUAACGCGAAAUUGAGAAAGAUUUUCGGAGGGAACAAUACCUGCCCCACUGGAGAGAAGACUAUGCCGAAAGAUCUCAAUUAUCCGUCAAUGAGCAUGAGUGUUCCUCAAGGCAAUGGUACACGUUCGACAUUUUCGGCGAACUUUAGAAGAACUGUCACAAAUGUCGGAGAUGCAACUUCUACAUACAAGGUGAAGACAAGCGAAAGUCCCGAUUAUAGUAUCUCUGUGACGCCAAACAUCCUUCAAUUCGGAGCGCUGAACGAAAAGAAAACGUUUGAAGUGACUAUAAGCGGAAAGAUUAGUGAGAAUAAUAUGGUGUCAGCCUCGUUGGAGUGGUCCGACGGGGUCCACAAUGUCCGUAGCCCGAUAGUUGUGUAUACGGAUAAUAUGUAAUUAAUAUAAACCGGUUUCAUAUGUCAUGGAAAUACAUGUGUAAAAGAGUCAAAGAAGUUAUUGUAAUAAUGUUACUUGAUGAAUAAAAUAUAUAUAUAUAUAUAUAUA